rnacentral:rRNA from 1 species
AGAGUUUGAUCAUGGCUCAGAUUGAACGCUGGCGGCAGGCCUAACACAUGCAAGUCGAGCGGAUGAAGGGAGCUUGCUCCCUGAUUUAGCGGCGGACGGGUGAGUAAUGCCUAGGAAUCUGCCUGGUAGUGGGGGAUAACGUUCCGAAAGGAACGCUAAUACCGCAUACGUCCUACGGGAGAAAGCAGGGGACCUUCGGGCCUUGCGCUAUCAGAUGAGCCUAGGUCGGAUUAGCUAGUUGGUGAGGUAAUGGCUCACCAAGGCGACGAUCCGUAACUGGUCUGAGAGGAUGAUCAGUCACACUGGAACUGAGACACGGUCCAGACUCCUACGGGAGGCAGCAGUGGGGAAUAUUGGACAAUGGGCGAAAGCCUGAUCCAGCCAUGCCGCGUGUGUGAAGAAGGUCUUCGGAUUGUAAAGCACUUUAAGUUGGGAGGAAGGGCAGUAAGCUAAUACCUUGCUGUUUUGACGUUACCGACAGAAUAAGCACCGGCUAACUUCGUGCCAGCCGCCGCGGUAAUUC